rnacentral:tRNA from 1 species
GGCCUCUUGUUGAAAUUGGUAUACAAGCCUGACUCAAAAUCAGGUGCCCCUAAAGCAUAUCGGUUCAAGUCCGAUAGAGGCCA